UUAUUGCUGUCGCAAGCCAGAUGAAGAGAAGUAAAGAGCUGAGAACCUGAUCUUUGAACAGUCAGAGACCAUAGCUGAGGAGCAUCCAAUGAUGAUACCAGAGAACCAGGAAGAGACUGUGAUAGUGCUUGAUCUUGUUCCUUUUUUUCAUCCUGUUGUCCCAUCCUCUCAGUCUUUUCAGAAGAAGAAAAGACCCAGAAGCAUCUCUCCAACUGCCUCUCCUCCCACUGUGUCAUCUCUCCGCCCCCCCCCCCCCCGCCCGUAGAUCAGCCACAUCUGCAUUCAUGUCACCUGCUGACCAUGCCGUCUCCUUAAGUCAGGGUGGCCGAUAAGAAGAGAAAGCGUAAGUUAAAAUGUUAAGGAAGGAUCCCUUCAAGUGUCAAGCUUGUACCCCAGAUGUGCUUUCAGUUUCAGUGGAUGGAAACUGCAAGUAUUACCAUUUAAAGAAUGCAGCAAAAUGUGUAAAAUAUAACAAUUCUUUGUAUAUGUUAGUGAUGUUCACUACUUUUGGACUAUAACAUCUCAUGGAGUGUAUUUUAUUGCUUGUUUUUCAGAUUGGAGGAACAGGCUAUAUUUCAGGACCUUUUCAUAGCCAAGGAUGAAAACGUAGGAAAAUUAGUGGACUGUAUACACAAAUCAACCAAAAAUAUUUUGUGGUGGGCAGCCAGGGAGAUCUCUCACAGAACCAGCAGCAAACUGGAAGAGGAGGCUUGGAGCUAGCGACACAGAUGGACACAAAGCUUGUGCCAAGGCUCAUCGCAAGAUCAGAAAGGAGAAAACAUCUUAGCUUUAGAAGAUGUUGGUCACUUGAAGACUGAUACAGACACAGAAGUUCUGUCUUUGGAAGAGAUCCUGUCCGACUCUGUCAGUCUUCACACAAGAACAAGGGCAAUCGAUGACAUCAUGAUAGUAAAGAGACUGGAAGAGGAAAAAAGGAUCCUUGUUGAUGGACCAUCAUUGGAAAUCUCUGUCAUCCUGUGAAGACACUCUAAAGGAGUUUCCCACCUGUUAUCAGGAGGUAAAUUUAAAAGUUUGUCCUGUGCCCUAACUGACGAAGGUCCAAGAGGUCUCCAGAGCAUCAUCCUCAGAGAGCUGCAGCACCAACAGAUGAAGCUGCAGGCAACAGAGUAUUAUCUACAGCAGGGGAGCCCAAAGUGGGUCCUGGAGGCCCGGCAUCCUGCAUGUUUUAGUUCUCUCCCUGGUUUAACACACCUGAAUCAAAUGGUGGCUCGUUAGAUGGCCUAAGAAGAACAUUGACAAGCGGAAAAGGUUGUUUCUACCACCAGAGAGAAAAUAAAACAUGCAGGAUGCCGGGCCUCCAGGACCCACUUUGGGCACCCCUGCUGUAGAUAAUACUCUGUUGCCUGCAGCUUCAUC